rnacentral:tRNA from 1 species
UAUUUAAUAUCUUAAAUUAAAGAAUUGAUUUUUUAAAUCAAAAAUAAAAUAUAAAUUUUUUAAAUAA